CUUAAAACCCAAAGGACUUGACGGUGUCCCAUUCCCCCUAGAGGAGCCUGUUCUAUAAUCGAUAACCCCCGCUCUACCUCACCACUUUUUGCUUAUUCAGCCUGUAUACCUCCGUCGUAAGCUUGCCCUGUGAACGUCUGUCGAGCAAGCCCAAAGGCCUUACCACCAACACGUCAGGUCAAGGUGCAGUCCAUGAAGUGGAAAGCAAUGGGCUACAAUUUCUAAGCUAGAACAAACGAAAUACUGCAUGAAACACAGUUAUGAAGGUGGAUUUAGUAGUAAAAAAGAAUUAGCGAGUCUUUUUUAAUCCGGCCCUGGGACGUGUACACACCGCC
rnacentral:rRNA from 1 species